rnacentral:rRNA from 1 species
CUCGCGUGUCGUGCCAGCAGCCGCGGUAAUACGUAUGUCCCGAGCGUUAUCCGGAUUUAUUGGGCGUAAAGCGAGCGCAGACGGUUUAUUAAGUCUGAUGUGAAAGCCCGGAGCUCAACUCCGGAAUGGCAUUGGAAACUGGUUAACUUGAGUGCAGUAGAGGUAAGUGGAACUCCAUGUGUAGCGGUGGAAUGCGUAGAUAUAUGGAAGAACACCAGUGGCGAAGGCGGCUUACUGGACUGCAACUGACGUUGAGGCUCGAAAGUGUGGGUAGCAAACAGGAUUAGAUACCCUGGUAGUCCACACCGUAAACGAUGAACACUAGGUGUUAGGAGGUUUCCGCCUCUUAGUGCCGAAGCUAACGCAUUAAGUGUUCCGCCUGGGGAGUACGACCGCAA